rnacentral:lncRNA from 1 species
UGGAAUUCGGUUUCCCCUCUCUAAGUAAAUGGGUAAAACUGAAAUGUGUCGUAAACAAUGGGCCCAAAACAAAAUUACAAUUACAAAAAACUCCUAAAAUACAAUCUUCACUUCAAAACAUAUCUUUGCCUUCUGUAAUGUCCAAAAUGUCCUUCAUGCUAAAUAUGAUAUGAAAAUGAUAAUAGAUUUAAUUAGGCUAAAUAAUCCCAAAUUAACUCAUUAUAGGAAUAUUAGUCCAAUAAAGUCUAAAGCACUAAAUCAUGUCAAACAAAGUCAAUUAGGCACCAAUAAACAUUAAUCAUGCUAAAUUAAGGUUAUUAAUAGUGUAUAAUAUAUUGCUAAUCAAUGACAUAGGAGGUCGUAUGUACAGCAUCGACCCAAAAGUAUUUAGGCACUUUGCUUUCAUUAAGCAUGGUCCUGGCUAGCUCCUCUAAUACGCGAUUUUUUCUCUCAACAACUCCAUUUUGUUGAGGAAUUCUAGGAGCUGAGUAUUGGUGCAGGAUACCAUUUUUAUUGCAAAACUUAUCGAACAGGUGGUUCUCAAAUUCACCACCAUGGUCACUUCGUAUAUAUACAAUUUUCAGGUUAAGUUGGUUUUGGAUUUGCUUGACAAGGCUUUUAAAAGAUUUGAAUGUGUCGCUUAUAGCAUAAAGGAACAGGGUCCAUGUAAAACUAGAGAAAUCGUCUACAGCUAUCAAAGCAUAAUAACUACCUACGAAACUCAGGAUUUGCGAUGGUCCAAACAGGUCCAUAUGGAGAAGCUCUGAAGACCUAGUUGUAGAGAUUACAUUUUUUGAUGCAAAUGAGUUCUUAACUUGUUUACGCUUGUGACAAGUGCCACGAGCUUCUUUAGAUUUGAAAUUAAGUUUAGGUAGACCAACAACUAAAUCGUGAGAUGAUAAUUUAUCUAAGUGUUUAAUAUGUAUGUGCGCAAUGCGCCUAUGCCAAAGCCAUAUGUCAUUCUCUCUAGAGAUAAAACAUUUUGAGAACAAUGUAGUGACAUGCUCCAAAUUAACCAUGUAUAUGUUGUUUAUACGAUGACCAACAAACUUAACAUUAUUAGAUAUACUAUCACGAAUAAUGCAACAAUCACAAUCAAAGGAUCCUCAGUUACCUUUAUCGCACAAUUGGCUAAUACUUAAUAGGUUGUGCUCCAAGCCGUCCACAUAGAGUAUGAGAGAUCUAGGAAGUAUUUCCAACUCCAAGUAUCUUUCCUCGAUUAUUGUCGCCAUAAGUGACGUACCCUUUUUCUUUGAGUGAGAGAUCUAGGAAUUUCGAUCUGUCACAUGUCAUAUGGCUCGAACACCCGCUAUCUAAGUACAAGUGAUGUCCAUGCGUUUGUAAGCAUACCUACAAAACAAAUUACUUGUCUUGUUUAGGUACCUAAUUGAUAUUGGGUCCCUUCUUGUUAGUAACCAUGGUAUUUUGUCCCUUCUUCACCCAAAUAUAAGUACCAUCAGGCACACCAUACUUUCUAAUAUAACAUGAAGUGGUAGUAUGGUCAUAAGUUUCGCAAUAGAAACAAGUAGGCAUGUGAGUAUAUGAGUUUUUACGAUUAUGGACUACAAGUUUCCUAUAUGGUCUUUUCUUGCUAGUUUGGGGUUUAUAAGCUAAUCCCAUGUGGUUACUAGCAUUUCUAGAUUCAGCAAGUAAAGUGUCAAGAUUAAAAAUAAUGUAUGUAAGCUUUGCGAGUUUUUCUUUUAAAUUCGAAUUUUCAGUUUCCAACGUCUCGUAAGUAUCACAUACAGCAAAUUGACAUAAAUUAUCUUUAGAUAAAUUACAUGAGCUACAAGAGUAGAUCAAGUCAAGGGUUUCAGUUUCCAGUUUUAAUUCAUCUAACUCUUUUUACAUUUUAAUGAUUUGGUGUUCAUGCAAUAGGUUUACCCGUUUUCUAUCUAUGUUAAUCCUAGCAAGAUUUUUAAGUUCUACAUGUACUUCAACAAAUGCAUUAUACAGUUCAUCAUAUUUAGGGGAGUCAUCAGAAGAAGAUGAAGUAAUAGAAUAUACCUCAGUUGCAUCAUCCUGACCACUAGAGUUGCAAGCAUCUUGUGUUUUCAUCAUAAGGCACAGUUUUGCACACUCCUCCUCAUUAGAUGUGCUUGAUGUAGUUUCCUCCUCGGGAGCAUCCCAUACGAUGUAUGCUCUUUUUGAUUUGAAGUUCUGAGGAGUGUUCUUUUCAUAUUCAACCUUCUUGAGAUAGGUUGGACAUUCUAGCCUCAAAUAUCCAACCUUCUCGCAUUCAUGGAAAGUGAAGCGCUCCUUUGGGUUCUUGCCCUUCUUGGUUGAGUCUCGCGCUUCUUUCUUUUGAAACCUCUUGAAUCCCCCUCUUUUCUUCAGGAAUUUGCCAAAUUUUCGAACUAGGAGAUUCAUGGUGUCCUCAUCCAGAUCGAAAUCAGAAUUGUCAUCCUCUUUUUGAUCUUGCGAACUGGUUGCCUUGAGAGAGAUGUCUUUCUUCUUCUUGUCCGAAUCCUCAUUCAUAGUUAAACGCCCUAACUCCAUCUCGUGUUCCUGGAGUUUGCCAAACAAUGUCACUAAAGGCAUGGAAUCAAAGUCUUUUGACUCCAUGAUUGCGGUUACUUUCGGUUGCCAUUUCUUGUCAAGACAAUGCAAAACUUUGUUAGUUAAUUCUCCUUUAGUAAAACAUUUAUCUAGGGAAACUAAAUGCUUAACAAUGUGAGUAAAUUGCUUUUGCAUUUUACUAAUUGAUUCAUUUGAUAACAUGCAAAAUAACUUAUAUUCAUGUGUUAGCGCAUUUAGCCUAGUGUGCUUAACCUUGCUAGUGCCUUCAUGAGUCACUUGUAAGGUGUCCCAUAUUUCUUUCGCAUUUUGGCACUGCGAUACCCUAAACAACUCAUCGUAAAAUAGGGUUGAUGUGAUAAUAUUUUUAGCAUGAAGGUUAUGUUGAACCUUUCUACACUCAUCAUCGAUCCAUAAACUUUUUGGAUUUUCUUUAGAUUCAUCGUCCACCAACUGGAGUGGAAUGAAAGGGCCAUUGACCACGGAUUCCCAAAUAUCCAUGUCAAUCGCCUCAAUGAAUAUUCUCAUGUGCACCUUUCAGUAGUCGUACUCCUCGCCACUGAAAUCGGAAGCGGUUGAGGGAUGUGUCAUCACCGCCAAAAGGGUUUGUGGAAUCCAUCGUAUUAUCCUCUAGUAUCGAACGAAUACACGGUCAAGCUAGUACUUUCGUACUAGCUCUAAUAUCACUUGUUGGGUGUCAGCGUGUCAUAAUACACCUAGAAGGGGGGUUGAAUAGGUGUCGCAGAUCACUUACUCCGAUUUUCCUAUAUUUUGCGUGAAACUAAAACUGACUGUACUUAAUCGAUUAAGCUUGGUUUUAAUCGAUUAACUAGUGUUUGGACUUAAUGGAUUAUGCUUGUGGAUAAUCGAUUAUCCUGAAUCUUGCACUACUUGAUUAUGUGGUUUCUUGCACAACAAGUUACCGAUUACUAUUUCUUUACACAAUUAAUUGAUUAUCAAAGUUAAAGAAAGACAGUAAAACGGAUUAUAACAUGCAACUCAUAUUAACUCAAUUAAUCAACAAAGUAAAGAAUAAAAGUAAGGAGACUAGGGAUAGAAAGAGGUGCACAAUAAAUUUUUAUCCUGGUUCGUUUGCGGUCCACUAUAAACAACAUCCAGGCCUCCCCUUCUGAUCUCGGGAGAUUUUUCGUCACUAUUGCAAUUGUAACUUUACACGCACACUUCCAAUUACAAAAACAGAAAAACUAAGUCGCUUCUUUCUUGGCACCUAUGUGCUUGAUAACCUAGAUUUGACCUACCUAAUUCGCCUACUAAGUUCUCCUAUCCUUUCGCGAUUCGACCCCAGCCUCGGUAUCGCUCAAACCAAGACCUCUAAGUCUCUAUGAAGAUUAUAAAUAUCUCUCUUGUAGUGAAGCUAUUAACAAAGAGAUCAACUUCCUUGUUCACAACAGAUUUUGUUGAGUUGACUUGAGUACUUAAUACUCGGACUCAACAAUUAAAACUCAAUCUAAAACACUAAGCAGAAAAUCCACAAGAACCUAAUUCUAAAUGAAAUUUAAUGCAUUACAUUUUUUUAAAAUUGAUUUGCACUCUUUUCAGAAAAAUAUUUUCGUCACUUUUCUCUCAAAGAAAUCAAGAACUUUAUGUAAGAACGCAAUGCAUAGAAAACUAGAGAAAACACGCAAUAAUUUUACUUUCUAAGCCUAACUCAGAAUGCUCUCACUCUCUAAGUUUUCUAAAUGCACUUUCUCACUAUAAUGCAAUGUAUGAAAGUGUAUGCUCUUUAACUAUGUUUGAAAUAUGCAAAUUAUGCCACAUUGGCAAGAAUUAUAGUAUUUAUACUAAUCCUACUCAUAUUAAUAUUAAUCAAUUAUUCAUCCACUUCAUCGAUUAACGGACAGUUUUUUGUUACGUCUUAAUCAAUUAUAUAGUGUCUUAAUCGAUUAACGUACUAAUAGCCUCAGAUCAGUUAGUAACUGAAUUCUUGAUAAUCGAUUACACAUACUGCAUAAUCAAUUAUGCUGAUUUAAAAAUGUUUUUCUUGAUAUAUGGUAAGCAAACUAUAUGAUAUGAACAUGUUAUACAUAGUUUUUCAAAAUGUAAUACCUUUAAUGCAUAAGACUAUGUAUGUGAAUGCAUGAGCCUACUUAUCAUAAGAUAUCUAGAUGUUAUGUCUCAAUUUUAGUCUUGUUCAAUUUUAGUUCUUGUGAGACUUCCACCUAGGUUUACCUAACCUAGACUCAAUCUAAGGCAAUCAUCCUAAGACUUCUAAUACAAGUAAAUAUUAUAACGCCUUAAGUCUAUAGAUGCAACCUAUGAGUCUUUGGCUUGUUGUUUGUUGUACGAUCUUCAAGCUUACUAGUAUGUAUGUUGUCUUCAUCAAAACUUCGGUUAGCAUUAAAUGUGCGGGUCUUCACUCUUUGCACUUUCAAUCUCCCCCCUUUUUUAUGAUGACAAACUCUUCUCCAAUUACUUGUUUGAUAAGCUUGAUGACGAUCAACAUGUGUUUGCUUAGGUUGGAUAAUUGUCAAAGUUGUGCUGCUCCCCCUCACUUUGUUCUCCCCCUCGACCAAGCAAUGAGGUAGUUUACUCAAGAGUAGGUAGCAAACUUACGGAAGCUCAACAAAACAGAUUAAGUAAUAUUAGGUACCCAGUUACUUUUGGGUCCUACAGGGUUAGCACUUUUCUCUACCCAUUGAAAACGUCCUAAGGGUACACCAUAUUUUCUAAUCAUGCAAGUAUUAGGUGUAUGCCCAUGAUUUUGACAGAAAGUGCAGAUGGGUUGAUGCUUAUGUAUCCUAGUCAUAGAUUUAGAAACAUGAUAAGUAUGGAUACUUUGCUUUUGAAAAUUUAUUUUUGUAGGCACUUCCUUUUUCUUAUAUAAAGAAGGUUUGGAAAAUCUGAGACCUCUACGGACGGUGGAAUGUCUUUACAUUUUCAACAUAUUAUCCAAGUUUAUACUGCUAUAGUUUAAACUUUUGAGUUCAAGACUCAAAGUAGAAAUUUUAUUUUCCAGAGUAAUACACUUUGGACAAGAAGAAGAAGAAGAAGGUUUACUUCGGAAUGCAUCAAUCUCAUUCUUUUAAUUAAAACAGAUUUUGGUGGGUUUGAAAUAUUCACUAUGCAAUUCAUUAAAAGCAUUUUGUACUUCAAAAAAUGAUGGCAUAUCUAAAGGUUCAGUUUCACUUACCUCAUCAUCAUCAGAAUGAUGAGACGCCAUUAGAGGGAGAUGGGUUUGCUCUUCAUUUUCGAGUUCUGAAGUUGAACUUGAGUCAUUAUCCUCUCAUGCAAUGUAAGUUCGUCUACUAGUCUUCUUUUCAGGUUUUGCCUUGAAAUGAUUCUUCUUUAGUGUAGGACAGUCUAUCUUCAUGUGACCAGGUUUUCCACAUUCAAAACAAUUGAAGUUUUGAUUUGAAGUGGAAACUUCAUUGCUCUUGGUGAAUCUUCUUGAUUGUCCAACCUUACCACCUUUGUUUCUUUUUAGGAACUUGCUGAACUUCUUCAUCAACAUGCUCAUAUCUUCCCUGUCCUCCUUUUCUAAGUGAUCUGCCAAGGAUCCAUACACCUCAUCUUUUGCUUUAAGAUAAAUAUUCUUUCUCUUCUACUCUUGUUCUUCAGGUUGUUCAAGUUGGCUUAAUUCCAACUCCUGUUCUUGCAACUUUCCAAAGAGAGCAACCAACGACAUCUUUGAUAGACUUUUAUUUUCUGAGAUGGCUGUCAUCUUGUGUUGCAAUUGUCUUGUAAAUGAUCUUAGAACUUUCAUGUUCAAGUCAUUAUAUGAUAGUACCUUACCAAGUGCAAUCAGAUGAAUUAUGAGGUAAGUAAAUAUCUUUUGGAGAUCUAGUAUUUUCUCUCCAAGCUUCAUGCAAAACAUUUCAUACUCCUGGGAGAGAGUAUUAAGUCUAGAUCUUUUCACCUCCCUAGUUCCUUCAUAAGUUGUUUCUAGAGUAUCCAUAUCUCCUUGACGGAUUUGCAAUUUAAUACUCUAAAGAACUCGUCAAUAUCCAGGGCUGAAGUGAGAAUUUUUUUGGCUUUGAGAUCGUAUUACACUUUCUUUUUAUCUUCAUCAUUCCAAUAGGGUUUUGGCUUAACUUCCCAUACACCAUUAAUAAUAGUGAAAGGUUCAUAGGAUCCUUCCUCAAUCGCAUUCCAUAUAUCUAGGUCUUGUGACUCUAUAAAGAUUUUUAUCCUGAUUUUCUAGAAGUUGUAGCAUUCUCCAACAAAGUUUGGAGGGUGAUUCAUGUUGAAAGCUUAUCACAAAAAUGAUCUAGAUGCCAUCUUUAAAAUAGGAUUGAUUUGAGAAUAAUUUACUCAAAAUAAGCUUUGGUGACAAUUGUAAGUAUUAUAUGGCAACUAAGAGGGGUGAAUUAGUUGAUGGGAGAAAUGACCAAUUUCUCUGCUUAGAUAUCAAAGUGUUUGUGCAGCGGAAAAUAGUUGCAUAAAUCAACCAAGUUAAAAACCAAAAGUAAGUACACAAAGAGAGUAGAAGAGUAAGAGUACACGGAGAAUUUUUAUACUGGUUCACCUUCUUGUCUACUGAAGGUUACAUCUAGUACUCUUGCCACACAAGAGAUUUCUCCACUAGAUACUUUGAGUUGCAAUUACAAACUCUCUCCCCGAGACCCUUGUACCUUACACACUCACAAAUAUCUAUCGUUGGAAAACAACAUUUCCAAGUUAACUCUUUUCCCAUUCUCACCACACCCUUAUGAUGACAAGUUUUACAACAAGAUGAAGAAUGAAAUCAGUGGUAGGAUUGCCUUUACAAGUGUUUGACAAUUGUUAUAACUGGCAAUCCUUUUGGUGUAAAUAUACUUAGUAAACAAUAUUCUAAUAUGUUUUAAAAUUUCAGAACUUAACACUUGAAGCAACUUCAGAAAAGUCUAAAAGUUUAGAAUCAAAGUUGCAAGAGUGCAAAAAUUGUUUUACAAUUUCAUGUAUCACUUUUAUUGUGGAUUCUUAUUGAAUUGAAUGUCUCAAUGCCUUUAACUAGGCUUCUAAUCAGCCAAUGUAACCUUCUAUGAAGAUGAGACACGAUUGGAAUGAAACUCACUCACUUUGGACGAAUGUUAUUCAUUCAAAUUUGAAAAUAUGGUUUCCAACGGCUAUGGUUAAUCGAUUGUCACAACUGUGUAAUUGAUUACCAAAAGUUUUUGUCCAAAGUGGUAAUCGAUUAAUAUAUAGUAAUAAUCGGUUACUUGGUAUUAGUUAUGCUUUGUAAUUGUUUUCUUAGUCAUAUAACAUGUUACGUAGUUCUAGUAACCUGUUACGUAGUUCCAGUAACCUGUUACCAAUUAUCACAUAGUUCAGGUAACUUGUUACCUAGAUCUAACAAUCUGUUACUCAGGUCAAGUAACUCAUAACUUAGCAUUAUUGUUAUUUUAUCAAGACUUAUCCAAUUAUUUUGAAAAUAGUUUUGAUUCCUUUGGUCAUUGCAACUAAUAUAUAAAUUGAGUGUAAGGAUAAAGUUCCUAUUGAAGACUUAAUCAAUAAUUGCUUAAACCUUAAUUCUUCUAUAUCUUCAUAGUCUUUUCCCUUUUCUUCUUUUUGUGAUCUUAGUGUCUUCAUCAAAACCGUAUCAAGGAAAUAAGCAAGAUCUUCUUCACAACUCUCUCUUCAAUUUUCAAACUUAGACAAGUCUAAGGUUAGUUUCUCAAAUGUUUGUUGCAGUCCAAUCACUUCUAUAGAAGGUAGAAUAUCGUCGGACAACUUAAUCUCAGACUUAAGUUUGUUAUAUUCUUAUCCAAGCCUAAAGCAUUAUUUUGAUUUCUCAAUAAACAAUUUAAGAGUUUUCAUACUUUCUUUGUAGAUCUUUGUACGCUUUAUAAAUGUUGUUCUAUUCUUCUAACAAUUCAUCAUAUGCUUUAUCUAGUUUACUGAGUUUAGAAUGUACCUCAUCAUAUAACUAUGAUUUAAUGCCUUCCAUCAAGUAGAGAUUUGCUUUCAGUUUUUCUUCCUCAAAAUCACGUGAGCUUAUUCCUUUUUUAUUGUAAGGGAUCUUCAUUUAGGGUUGAUACUUGAGAUUUAGGUAAUAUGCCUUCAUGUGUCCUGAUUUCAUGCACUCAUAGCAAGUGACAUCCUCAGAUUUGUUGUCCUUGUUUUUAAAUAUGUUAUUGUUGGGUCUGAAAGGCUUCUUCAACUUUCUUUUGUUCCAGAGCUUCUUCAUGUCUCUCGUCACAAGAGAUAGAUCAUCAUAGUCUUCUACUUAUUUAGAAUCAUUUGAGUUUGACUCAAUUGAUUCGUUAUUGGACUUAUGUACCUUAAGAGCUUUUGGAGUUGCGGUUUAUGUAGUCUUCUUUUCCACCUAGAGAACAAUGGAUUUUGGCUUCAUGCCAUUAUUUUCCUC